UCUUGAUGAUGUAGUCCCUGUGUCUG
rnacentral:piRNA from 1 species